AUUGAACGCUGGCGGCAUGCCUUACACAUGCAAGUCGAACGGCAGCACGGGGCAACCUGGUGGCGAGUGGCGAACGGGUGAGUAAUGCAUCGGAACGUACCUUUCAGUGGGGGAUAACGUAGCGAAAGUUACGCUAAUACCGCAUAUUCUGUGAGCAGGAAAGCAGGGGAUCGCAAGACCUUGCGCUGAUUGAGCGGCCGAUGUCAGAUUAGCUAGUUGGUGAGGUAAAGGCUCACCAAGGCGACGAUCUGUGGCGGGUCUGAGAGGAGGAUCCGCCACACUGGAACUGAGACACGGUCCAGACUCCUACGGGAGGCAGCAGUGGGGAAUUUUGGACAAUGGGGGCAACCCUGAUCCAGCCAUGCCGCGUGAGUGAAGAAGGCCUUCGGGUUGUAAAGCUCUUUCGGCCGGGAAGAAAUCGCACGGGCUAAUACCCUGUGUGGAUGACGGUACCGGAAUAAGAAGCACCGGCUAACUACGUGCCAGCAGCCGCCGUAAUAC
rnacentral:rRNA from 1 species